rnacentral:misc_RNA from 1 species
GCUCCGUUGGUGAACCAGCGGAGGGAUCAUUACCGAGUUUACAACUCCCAAACCCCUGUGAACAUACCAUUUGUUGCCUCGGCGGUGCCUGCUUCGGCAGCCCGCCAGAGGACCCAAACCCUUGAUUUUAUACAGUAUCUUCUGAGUAAAUGAUUAAAUAAAUCAAAACUUUCAACAACGGAUCUCUUGGUUCU